UGUUUCGGCUAGGGGGCCAUCCCGGCUUACCAACCCGAUGCAAACUGCGAAUACCGGAGAAUGUUAUCACGGGAGACACACGGCGGGUGCUAACGUCCGUCGUGAAGAGGGAAACAACCCAGACCGCCAGCUAAGGUCCCAAAGUCAUGGUUAAGUGGGAAACGAUGUGGGAAGGCCCAGACAGCCAGGAUGUUGGCUUAGAAGCAGCCAUCAUUUAAAGAAAGCGUAAUAGCUCACUGGUCGAGUCGGCCUGCGCGGAAGAUGUAACGGGGCUAAACCAUGCACCGAAGCUGCGGCAGCGAACGUAUCACUUAAAGCGAUUCAGCGGGUUACGAUUGACGGAGCGAAGCGACGUCAAAGCGUAUACAAAGUCGAGUCGGUUUAAGGAUACGUUCGUUGGGUAGGGGAGCGUUCUGUAAGCCUGUGAAGGUGGCCUGUGAGGGUUGCUGGAGGUAUCAGAAGUGCGAAUGCUGACAUAAGUAACGAUAAAGCGGGUGAAAAGCCCGCUCGCCGGAAGACCAAGGGUUCCUGUCCAACGUUAAUCGGGGCAGGGUGAGUCGACCCCUAAGGCGAGGCCGAAAGGCGUAGUCGAUGGGAAACAGGUUAAUAUUCCUGUACUUGGUGUUACUGCGAAGGGGGGACGGAGAAGGCUAUGUUGGCCGGGCGACGGUUGUCCCGGUUUAAGCGUGUAGGCUGGUUUUCCAGGCAAAUCCGGAAAAUCAAGGCUGAGGCGUGAUGACGAGGCACUACGGUGCUGAAGCAACAAAUGCCCUGCUUCCAGGAAAAGC
rnacentral:rRNA from 1 species